CGUCAGCGCACGCCGACGUCAUCUUGAGGCGCAGCUCGGUCUGAGUGGGAACCGCAAGGCUGAGCUCGGCGCUCAAAGACUCGGGACCUGCUGCAUGCAAGACACGCCACAAUAAAACAAAACUCCACUCACGUCAAAGGGCGUGCAGAGGAUGGGGCAAUGAGGAGAUGCCCCACCCCCCUACGUGAGUCGGAAGGAGACGAUUGGCUCUUGCAGACAGUUAGAGAAGACAUUAUUGGCUAGCGUACCUCGAGGAAAUCAGGAGGGCGGAGCGGGUUCGCCGAGUCGCGUGGGAGGGACAGCACAAGAAAGAAGAAGAAGGACACCAUGGGGAGGGGGCUCAUGUUAUCACACUCCCACCCAGGAGACACUGACAACUACGCUGGGCUCACUCCGCCGUUGCCCUUUUGAAGCUUAAAAAAACAAGAUGAGGAGCUCCCGGUCUCAAUUGCAAUUUGGACGCGUCAAGCGUACUUUUGCACUGCCAGAUUUGACAGCCGUUUAAACGCUCUUACAUGGCAUUCCGAAGAAAUCGUGACCAAGAAAUAAGACUCGUGCUCCAGAUUUGAGGGCGGCCAAAACGGAGUCAGCCCGGUGUAGUUGGGUGGCCGAGAUCCAAAGAGCAGAUAGCCGUGGCCUCUCACCUCUCCUCUCGACGAUCUGGAGGUAACCUGUGGACAGGUACUGCUCCACAUCCUGCUGGAAGGCCUCCUCCAGCAGCUUAUGUUUGUCUUUCGGCUUCCGCUGCCCGUCAUCGCCAGCGUCAGCACACUGAGAGCGGGACCCCUUGGGCGUGGGAUCACAGUCCACCUCCGCUGCAAACAUUUCAGGGUGCACAGAAAGAGAACGUCACGAUUGGUGGAAGCCAAGGCCGGGCCUUCGUUUGUACGUGCGGCGGGCACAAAUGGCUCCCCUCGACUUCUUUGCUCCAUGUGAUUGCAUGUAAGCGCCCUUUUGAUAUCUGCGAAGCAGCAUAAAAGACCCCGUGAGCUAAAUAUGAGCUACCGCUAAAAAUAGAAGCCCCCGGAGCAGCAAGAAGACGUGGCAGGCGGCGCAAAAUGUAGUUGAGCUUACAAGAAGGAGGAACAAAGUGCAAAGAAAAGGGAUUAGAACGUCCACGUUGGU